GGGAUGGACACGUUACCGCACUUGUCGGGGCACCCUGGCAAUGAUAUGGUAAGCCCAGAAGAGGUGGCCGGCGCUAUCACUGAGAAAGCGACGAUAAUCAGGAGGACUAAUGCUUCUUCCAUGGCUAGAGGUUUAUUAAAUCUUGAAAAGCCAUCUCCAGGUUUGAGCCCCAUUCAUUGCUUCAUGUCUUUGUAUCUGAUAAAUGUGAAGGCACGCCUAGUCUUCUCGAGGAGUCAGCUAUAUAGUUCGAAGCCUUCCUCUGGAACAAACAAACUGGUUGAAACAAGCAACAGAAGGAUUGACUUUGAAAGUCGAGGCAGGCCAGGUGGCAGCAAAGCCGAAGGAUAAUCAUGUUUAGUUGAUCAUUUCAUCUUCGGAUUUGUAUAUGUUUAGGCUUGAAGCCGUCACUUGUGUGCUUUGUUUCUGCGGAUGAUUUGACUUGUCUGAUCUUCUGUUUUCAUGCAGUUCUCACUGUCUGUCAAGAAUAAAAGAGGGGCCUCUGCGUCUGUCCGUUAUGUGAAGAGUGCAAUGGUGUCCGGUUCCAUGUUCCCAUGGCGUGCUUGAGUGGGUUCUCUCUGCACAUGUAUUUGUUUGGGCAUCUGAUGCAAGCGUACCCCGUUUUGGAGCGAGGAGCGUGCUGAACACCAAGGUACAAUUACGAAGGCUGGAGCAAUGCUAAGAAACACUGCUACUGGUAGCCUAGCAGAGGCGACUGUAGCAGCAACGACAACGGCAAGCAGCUGGGGCGGGACGGCGUCGCGGGGUAGGUAGCGCACGCGGGAUGGUGGCGGCGUCCGGCGGUGAAAGAGAACAGGAGUGCUAGGGCUGAGAAGAUGGGAGAUCCCAUGGAUGAGGAUGCGCGCACGAAUCUUAAACACCGGAAGCCAAGCUGGGAUUGCCGGGCAAGAACGACCUGUCUAGUAGCUAUAUUAGUUUCCUAUUUUACCCCUUUGCCUCUACAUGUACUAAAUGGGCUUCGUCGUUUGGUGUGGAAUGAGAAAGUAUCCAUUUUGAGCCAA